CUGCCGGACUGGGGCGGUUACAGCGCAUCAUAGUCGAACCGGUUUGAAAGCCGGGCCGUAGUGGGUGCCAGCCCCGUAGACGAAAUGGUGUUAUGGCCGGAUGUGUAUCCCAAGUAGCACGGGGCCCGAGAAAUCCCGUGUGAAUCUGUCAGGACCACCUGAUAAGCCUAAAUACUCCCAGAUGACCGAUAGCGGACAAGUACCGUGAGGGAAAGGUGAAAAGUACCCCGGGAGGGGAGUGAAAUAGUACCUGAAACCGUUUGCUUACAAACCGUCGGAGCCUCCUUGUAGGGGUGACGGCGUGCCUUUUGAAGAAUGAGCCUGCGAGUUAGUGAUAUGUGGCGAGGUUAACCCGUGUGGGGCAGCCGUAGCGAAAGCGAGUCUGAAUAGGGCGAUUCAGUCGCAUGUCCUAGACCCGAAGCGAAGUGAUCUAUCCAUGGCCAGGUUGAAGCGACGGUAAGACGUCGUGGAGGACCGAACCCACUUCAGUUGAAAAUGGAGGGGAUGAGCUGUGGAUAGGGGUGAAAGGCCAAUCAAACUUCGUGAUAGCUGGUUCUCUCCGAAAUGCAUUUAGGUGCAGCGUUGCGUGUUUCUCGCCGGAGGUAGAGCUACUGGAUGGCCGAUGGGCCUCAACAGGUUACUGACGUCAGCCAAACUCCGAAUGCCGGUGAGUGAGAGCGCAGCAGUGAGACGGUGGGGGAUAAGCUUCAUCGUCGAGAGGGAAACAACCCAGACUACCAACUAAGGCCCCUAAGCGUGUGCUAAGUGGGAAAGGAUGUGGAGUUGCAUAGACAACCAGGAGGUUGGCUUAGAAGCAGCCACCCUUGAAAGAGUGCGUAAUAGCUCACUGGUCAAGUGAUUCCGCGCCGACAAUGUAACGGGGCUCAAGCACACCGCCGAAGUUGUAGAUUUCGCACACUCGAUAAGCCUUCGUGGUUCAGUCGUGCGGAGUGGUAGGAGAGCGUCGUGUGGCGAGUGAAGCGGCGGAGUGAUCCAGCCGUGGACGCUACACGAGUGAGAAUGCAGGCAUGAGUAGCGAAAGACGGGUGAGAAACCCGUCCUCCGAAAGACCAAGGGUUCCAGGGCCAGGUUAAUCCGCCCUGGGUAAGUCGGGACCUAAGGCGAGGCCGACAGGCGUAGUCGAUGGACAACGGGUUGAUAUUCCCGUACCGGCGAACAACCGCCCAAGCUAAUCCAGUGGUGCUAAGAGUCCUAACCCG
rnacentral:rRNA from 1 species